CUGGCAGACUUUGCUUUCUGGGGAUGCUAAUGCUGCUCAUGUAUGAGAUAAGUGAUGACUCUCAACGUGGGAAAGAUGUUGUGACAUUCAAAAGAGGAUCAAACUUGUGGGACAUGGCACAAGGAAAUAAUUAUGGGCAAAGCAGCAAUGGGGUGGCUGAUGAAUCCCCAAACAUGUUGGUGUACAGAAAGAUGGAAGACGUCAUAGCCCGCAUGCAAGAUGAGAAAAAUGGGAUUCCUAUUCGUACAGUCAAAAGUUUUCUUUCCAAGAUUCCCAGUGUCUUUUCUGGUUCAGACAUUGUUCAAUGGUUAACGAAGAACUUAUCCAUAGAAGACCCAGUGGAAGCUCUACAUUUGGGAACACUGAUGGCAGCACAUGGUUAUUUCUUUCCUAUCUCAGACCAUGUUCUAACACUAAAAGAUGAUGGCACCUUUUAUCGAUUCCAGACACCCUAUUUUUGGCCAUCAAAUUGUUGGGAGCCGGAAAACACAGACUAUGCUGUUUACCUCUGCAAGCGGACAAUGCAAAACAAAGCAAGGCUGGAGCUAGCAGACUAUGAAGCUGAGAGUUUGGCCAGGCUACAGCGAGCAUUUGCUCGGAAAUGGGAGUUUAUUUUUAUGCAAGCUGAAGCACAAGCAAAAGUUGACAAGAAGAGAGACAAGAUAGAGAGGAAGAUCCUUGACAGCCAGGAGCGAGCAUUCUGGGAUGUGCACCGUCCGGUGCCUGGAUGUGUAAACACUACUGAAGUGGAUAUAAAAAAAUCUUCAAGAAUGAGAAAUCCACAUAAAACAAGAAAGUCUGUCUAUGGCUUACAAAAUGACAUUCGAAGUCACAGCCCUACCCACACACCAGUACCAGAGACUAAGCCACCCACAGAAGAUGAACUACACCAAGAGAUUAAGCAUUGGCAAAUGCAAUUAGACAGACAUAGAUUAAAAAUGUCAAAAGUUGCAGAGAGUCUAUUAGCUUAUACAGAGCAGUAUUUGGAAUAUGAUCCUUUUCUUGUGCCCCCUGAUCCCUCAAACCCUUGGAUAUCAGAUGACACCACUUUCUGGGAACUGGAGGCAAGCAAAGAGCCAGGACAACAGAGGGUGAAACGGUGGGGGUUCGGCAUGGAUGAAGCUUUGAAAGACCCUGUGGGAAGAGAGCAGUUUCUCAAAUUCCUGGAGUCAGAAUUCAGUUCAGAAAACUUAAGGUUCUGGUUAGCAGUAGAAGACCUGAAGAAGAGGCCUAUCCGUGAAGUUCCUACUCGCGUCCAAGAAAUCUGGCAAGAAUUUCUUGCUCCAGGUGCACCCAGCGCUAUCAAUCUAGAUUCAAAAAGUUAUGACAAAACCACGCAGAAUGUAAAGGACCCUGGAAGAUACACAUUUGAAGAUGCUCAGGAGCACAUUUACAAACUGAUGAAAAGUGAUUCUUAUCCUCGUUUUAUACGAUCCAGUGCCUACCAGGAGCUGCUACAGGCCAAGAAAAAGUUGGAAAACACUCUGGAUCGUCGAACAUCUUUUGAGAAAUUCACACGCAAUGUGGGCAGAAACAUCCCUAUUUUCCCAUGCCAUAAAAACUGUACACCAACACUGAGGGCGAGCACUAACCUGUUAUGAAAGAGGUAGAAAGAUCUUGGAUUAUACUCAAGUUUGUCUGCAUUGUCUGUUGAAUUGUGCAGGUGACGCUGCUGUGUGUGUGUGUGCGUCUGUGGCUUUUUUGUGACCUGGUUAGUGGAGCUGUGUGUAUUGAAAUGACAAAUAUGACAGCUUUCAGCAAAGAUCAUGGUUUUUGUUUUUUAGUUCCUAGGGAAGGAGAAGCAGUUCUCAGAAACUGCCUCCCCUAUGAUGAGACUCAAGAGUAUUUCCUCCGCUAUUUAAAAUAUAUAUAUGUAUAUAUAUACUUUCUAGUAACCAAAAAAAUAAACACAGUGAAAGAAGAAAGUUUUGUGAGGCUGUGGGAAUAUCUCACAUGUUAAAACAAAACCGUAAUUCUUUAACCUUUCUUAUAGGUAAAGGCUUCCUGUAAUAUGUUUUGAAUCCACUGUAAUCAGGAAGAAAUUUGGAUUCAAUGGGACAAAGUCAGUAAAGGACACUAAAAAGGGAAAUCGCUCACAUCAAAGAGGUUAACCAGUCUAGUGCAGUCCUACUAAAAGGAUCACCUUGUAGCAUGGAAGCAGACUCAAAUCAUUAUACAUACUUUGUAGCUCACUGAUUGCCUGACUCAGAGGACAGUAGAACAAGAUGUUGCAUGAGCAAGGACCUGACUUGUUUUCUUUUGUGUAUACUAAGGCAUUACAGACUCCGAGGGACUCUCUAGCCUUUCGAUGCCACCAUUUCGAAAACUGUCUGCUCACUUCCUCCUUCAUAUCAAGCUGGAUCUGUGUCUUUUUAUUUUCUGCAAGCUGAAGUACAGUGAAAAAAAAGCUUCUGCUAGGCACAGUUUAUUAAAAAAAAAAAAAGUCAAUCAAAACCUGGAAGAAAUGUAAAAAAUGCAUAUAUUAAUAAAUAUACAUAUGGCAUCACAUUUAUUGCACAAUAAAUAGCACAGAAGGUUUCAUUUCACUGAUGUAUUCACAUUGAGAAAGAAAGCCUGUGUCUUUGUCUGUUGUCUGUAUAUUCUCUGUUAAUGUUUCUUGCAUUUAUUUUUAUACCAUAUUUAAAAAAGAACACCUUUUACUCCAGAUGUAUUAAAGCUGAUCCUUUCUCUGUAAAUUUGUGUAUGUUUAUAUUGUUGUUUUAUCUUUCAUUAAAAGAUGCAGAAUCUCUUUC